GUGAGGAUGUUGAAAUAGGUUCAAGUAAUAGCACUCAGAGAGCAUCUCCCAAACAAGGAAGUUAAUAAAGAGCGUAGAAAAACAAAAAUAAGUCAACUUGUAAGAGGGAAAAGAUUUCGUGCAAGGGAAAGGAUAGGAUGGGGCGAUGGAAUUAAGAUGCAAGAAAAUAUGGGCUGAAGGUAAUUCCGCAGUAAUUGUUCCCGAAAUGAGAAUGUGCUGAAACUUCUCAGGCUUGGAUCCGGAGUUUAUGAUAUACUUAAAGUAAAAUCACACAAAAAAGUCGGGGUCACCGAACUCGUUAAGAAUAUAUGACAAUCACAAUAUACCACCUUUACCCCAAUAUGGCGCCAUCUUGACGCUCGUUACGAGUAACAGCAAAA
rnacentral:lncRNA from 1 species